AUCCUUUCUGUCACAGCAGGAAAUGUUUCUUCAGCUCUCUGUAGCAGAAUUCUCAGCAUUCCUUGCUCUGAAUAUUUGCCCAUGUCUGUAAGGAAACAU